rnacentral:rRNA from 1 species
GCAACUCGCCUACACGAAGCUGGAAUCGCUAGUAAUCGCGGAUCAGCACGCCGCGGUGAAUACGUUCCCGGGCCUUGUACACACCGCCCGUCACACCAUGAGAGUCUGUAACACCCAAAGCCGGUGGGAUAACCUUUAUAGGAGUCAGCCGUCUAAGGUAGGACAGAUGAUUAGGGUGAAGUCGUAACAAGGUAUC